AUGAACCGGCAGCUCAAUGGCUUCCACAAGGCGUUCAUCAAGGAGAGCACCUUCCUUUUCACCUCCUAGUCUGUGGGGGAAGGCCACCCAGAUAAGAUCUGUGACCAGAUCAGUGAUAAUGUCCUUGAUGCCCACCUUCAGCAGGAUCCUGACGCCAAAGUGGCUUGUGAAACUGUUGCUAAAACCGGAAUGAUCCUUCUUGCUGGGGAAAUUACAUCCAGAGCUGCUGUUGACUACCAGAAAGAGGUUCGUGAAGCCAUUGAACACAUUGGAUAUGAUGAUUCAUCCAAAGGGUUUGACAACAAGAUUUGUAAUGUGUUGGUGGACCUGGAGCAGCAGUCACCAGAUAUUGCCCAAGGUGUUCAUCUUGACAGGAAUGACAAAGACAUUGGUGCUGGAGACCAGGGCUUGAUGUUUGGCUACCACUGAUGAAACAGAGGAGUGUAUGCCUUUAACCACUGUCUUGGCAUACAAGCUCAAUGACAAACUGGCAGAACUACGCUGCAAUGGUACUUUGCCUUGGUUACGCCCUGAUUAGAAAAUUCAAGUGACUGUGAGUAUAUGCAGGAUCAAGGUGCUGUGCUUCCUAUUAGAGUCCACACAAUUGUUAUAUCUGUUCAGCAUGAUGAAGAAGUUUGUCUCGAUGAGAUGAGGGAUGCCCUAAAGGAAAAGGUCAUCAAAGCUGUGGUGGCUGCAAAAUAUCUCGAUGAGGACACAAUCUACCAUCUGCAGCCAAGUGGCAGAUUUGUUAUUGGUGGGCCUCAGGGUGAUACUGGUUUGACUGACUGGAAAAUCACUGUGGACACUUAUGGUGGUUGGGGAGCUCAUGGAGGAGGUGCCUUUUCAGGAAAGGAUAAUACCAAGGUAGACAGCUGCUUAUGCUGCUCGUUGGGUGGCAAAAUCCCUUGUUAAAGGAGGUCUGUGCAGGAGGGUUCUUGUUCAGGUCUUUUAUGCUAUUGGAGUUUCUCAUCCAUCGUCUAUCACCAUUUUCCAGUAUGGUACCUCUCAGAAGAGGGAGAGAGAACUAUUAGAGAUUGUGAAGAAGAAUUUUGAUCUCCACCCUGGGGUCACUGUCAGGGAUCUGGAUCUGAAGAAGCCAAUUUAUCAGAGGACUACAGCCUAUGGCCACUUUGGUAGGGACAGCUUCCCAUGGGAAGUGCCCCAAAAGCUUAAAUAUUGA